GAGAUCAUUAAGAAAUUGAGUUGUUCUGAUGGUUCCAACCACACAAGCAAGUCACGAUGAACCAGCAUAUAUGGCCAUCUGUUUUCAACAUGAAAUAUUGGGUUCAAAGGCCAAGUGUUUACACAUAUAUCAACUGGCUUAGGAGGGUUGAUGGCCAUUCUCAAGAAUCAGAAAGAAAGAGCUAAUCGUUGAAUCUUUUACACUAUUAAUGACAAUUCUUCAAACUCAAAUUUUCAACUACAUGUGUGUGGAAGUGGAAUUGAUGUUCCAAGUGACUCCAGCAUUUCCAUACUGUCCACCAGCGCUUCUGGCUCUAGCAUAAUGGUGUCUUCAUUUUAGUGUCUUUAUGUUAGUAGUAUUUUAGAUGUUACAACUUGGACAAUGCAAUUGUUCAUGUUGUACUUAUUUUUACAUUUGCCGUGAGAUUAUGUUGCUAACUUCUAUUACCAAUUCCGUGGUUGUUUCGUGGGGACAGCUUCUUGGAGGUUUUCCACCCAUCUCUAGCAACGUACGGAAUGCUUCUGUUGGUUUUGUAGGUAAUGCGUUAGCAUUUUUUCGG